ACUCUUGUUGUGUAAUUGGAAACAUGGCUCCUUUUGUAGGAGGAUAAGGGGGUUCAAAUCCAUCCUAGAGUU
rnacentral:tRNA from 1 species